rnacentral:rRNA from 1 species
CAGUAGCCGCGGUAAUACGUAGGUGGCAAGCGUUGUCCGGAAUUAUUGGGCGUAAAGGGCUCGCAGGCGGUUUCUUAAGUCUGAUGUGAAAGCCCCCGGCUCAACCGGGGAGGGUCAUUGGAAACUGGGAAACUUGAGUGCAGAAGAGGAGAGUGGAAUUCCACGUGUAGCGGUGAAAUGCGUAGUGAUGUGGAGGAACACCAGUGGCGAAGGCGACUCUCUGGUCUGUAACUGACGCCGAGGAGCGAAAGCGUGGGGAGCGAACAGGAUUAGAUACCCCUGUAGUCCCUGUCUCUUAUAC